rnacentral:rRNA from 1 species
AGAGUUUGAUCCUGGCUCAGAUUGAACGCUGGCGGCAGGCUUAACACAUGCAAGUCGAGCGGGGAAAGGUAGCUUGCUACAUUUCCUAGCGGCGGACGGGUGAGUAAUGCUUAGGAAUCUGCCUAUUAGUGGGGGACAACAUUCCGAAAGGAAUGCUAAUACCGCAUACGUCCUACGGGAGAAAGCAGGGGACCUUCGGGCCUUGCGCUAAUAGAUGAGCCUAAGUCAGAUUAGCUAGUUGGUGGGGUAAAGGCCUACCAAGGCGACGACCUGUAGCGGGUCUGAGAGGAUGAUCCGCCACACUGGGACUGAGACACGGCCCAGACUCCUACGGGAGGCAGCAGUGGGGAAUAUUGGACAAUGGGCGAAAGCCUGAUCCAGCCAUGCCGCGUGUGUGAAGAAGGCCUUUUGGUUGUAAAGCACUUUAAGCGAGGAGGAGGCUACUUAGAUUAAUACUCUAGGAUAGUGGACGUUACUCGCAGAAUAAGCACCGGCUAACUCUGUGCCAGCAGCCGCGGUAAUACAGAGGGUGCGAGCGUUAAUCGGAUUUACUGGGCGUAAAGCGUGCGUAGGCGGCUUCUUAAGUCGGAUGUGAAAUCCCUGGGCUUAACUUAGGAAUUGCAUUCGAUACUGGGAAGCUUGAGUAUGGGAGAGGAUGGUAGAAUUCCAGGUGUAGCGGUGAAAUGCGUAGAGAUCUGGAGGAAUACCGAUGGCGAAGGCAGCCAUCUGGCCUAAUACUGACGCUGAGGACGAAAGCAUGGGGAGCAACAGGAUAGAUACCUGGUAGCCAUGCCGAAACGAUGCUACUAGCCGUUGGGCCUUGAGGCUUAGUGGCGCACUAACGCGAUAGUAGACCGCUGGGGAGACCGGCGCAAGCUAAACUCA